GCUUUGGAGCCGUCCUGCCUCCCCUCACCCCCCGGACACAUCCAGAGUCCUUCCCAGCAUUCAGGCAUCAAUUCCGCUCGCUUCCCGGGUCCCGGGCUACAGGGUGCCUAGUGGUGAGCCCCACCCUACCUAAACCGUGCCCUCAGUGGUAGGAGCGUGUCCUCACCCUCAGGGUGCCUUGGCCGGGCGCCUCUGGGCUGUUUCCAAGUGCCGACAGUAGCAGCAGUGGCCAGAGAGUUGGGCCAGGUGGCUGUGACCCGCGGGCGCGAGGAGCCGUCUGGAGAGCAGGCGCUGCUGGCCGAGGGCGGGCCCGGAGUCUGGGUGGAGGGGGGUCGCUGUCCUGCGGGCCGGGGCCAGGAGCGACUCGUGAGCGUCUGUGUGUCGGCCAGGGAGAGAGCACGGGAUGCAGGCGCGCGGUAGGAAUAUGACUACCCCAUAGGAUUGGUGUGAGAGGAAGAGGCAGAACACAAAUGGGGACGAGCAGAACAUGGAAGAUUUCAACCUACAGG
ensembl:lncRNA